rnacentral:misc_RNA from 1 species
UUUCAGAUGUUCAAAAUUGUACAAUGUGAAAAAUAAGAGGAUAUAUACCAUGUAAGAAAAAGUUAGAGCAAAUUGUUGAUUUCUUCGAAUUGGCAAAGAAUUUUGUUUUAACAACUAUCAUUCAUGUUCAUUGUGAACACAGAAUUGCUUGUUGCAUGUUUGGAACUUGAUUGAAUGUUUUACUAGAUGUUUGUGGUUUGUGUUCGUUAAUCAUAGAGGCCGGCACUUGGUUUGAUAUAAACUAGCUUCUCUCUUUAGAUCCUUUAACCUAUGGACACCUUGUGCAAUUUAACUUUGUUCCUUUUAGUUGAUACAGUUGCAAUCAAAUUCUACAUGGAAUUAAAUGUUGAGCUUGGUCCUAGGUUCCAUUGUUGCCAAUUGAAAAUGCAAAAGUUACUGAACAUUCUCAACUGGAGAAGUUAAUAACAUGUUAACUGACGUUCAAGGACUCCUGGUAGAUAUUUGUAUUAUAGCCAUUUUUACUUGGAGAUAUGUUAUCUUGUUUUUCUGCUGCAUAUUGUUACUAAUUUUGGAUAUUUUCUUUGGUCUGGUAAACUUAUUUGAUAUUAUGCAGUGUGCAUGCAAUUGUGUGUGCUUGUAUUGUAGGAAAUACUGGAAGCACUGGUUGAUUAUCAGUUAGAGUUAGCUAGCCUCCUCAAGGCUCCUGUGCGAUAACUUGUAUCAUAUGUAGGUUCUACAAUAAAUACAUACUAUGUACUCGCAAAGUUAAUGGAAAUAAUUUGUUGUGCAGAUAGGCAUGCUGAAGAACUCG